rnacentral:rRNA from 1 species
GCCAAAAUCCUAGCCCCACCCAGAAUGAAUUUAACUAAACCAACUUACUCCCACGUAAUAAACCAUUUUAUUAUUUUAGUAGAGGGGAUUGAAAAAUUAUUGGAGCUAUAGCAUUAGUACCGCAAGGGAAUGGUGAAAUAUAUAAUGAAACAAUCUUAAGCAUUAAAAAGUAAAGAUUACAUCUUGUACCUUUUGCAUCAUGGUUUAACUAGUCUAACCAAGCAAAACGCAUUUAAGUUUGACCCCCCGAAACUAAGUGAGCUACUUCAGGGCAGUUAAGAGAACGAACCCGUCUCUGUGGCAAAAGAGUGGGAGGACCCUAAAGUAGCGGUGACAGACCUAACGAACUUAGUGAUAGCUGGUUACUCAAGAAACGGAUAUAAGUCCAACCUGAAACAACAAAUAGUCAGCAUAAACAUCAACUUAAUUUCAGCGUAAUUCAAAUAAGGUACAGCCUAUUUGAAACAGGAUACAACCUAAACCAGUGGAUAAAAUAAGCCCUACAUUCAACCAAGUCGGCCUAAAAGCAGCCAUCUUUAAAAAUGCGUCAAAGCUUAGUUGUCAAACUGCUUAAUAACUAAAUUCUUAUUUUAAUCCCCAAGUAAUACUGAGUAAUUCUAUAUUAUUAUAGAAAAUUUUAUGUUAAAACUAGUAACAAGAAGACAAACAUCUCUUAAAUGCAAGUGUAAAUCAGAAAGGAUAAGCCACUGAUAUUUAACAUCUUUGAGCCUAAAGUAGCAACUAAACAAGAAAACCCUACUCCUACCUAUGUUAACCUAACACAAGAGCAUUACAAGAAAGAUUUAAAGAAAAAGAAGGAACUCGGCAAAUCUUAACCCCGCCUGUUUACCAAAAACAUCGCCUCUUGAUCCCCUAUAAGAGGUCUAGCCUGCCCAGUGACUCUGUUCAACGGCCGCGGUAUCCUAACCGUGCGAAGGUAGCGUAAUCACUUGUUCUUUAAAUGUGGACUAGUAUGAAUGGCAUCACGAAGGUUAUACUGUCUCCUUUUUCUAAUCAGUGAAACUAAUCCCCCCGUGAAGAAGCGGGGAUAAGAAUAUAAGACGAGAAGACCCUAUGGAGCUUUAAACAAAAUAGCACUCGCCACAUUAAUAAAGAAUUUCAGAAUCAUUAUUUAUCUUAAGCGACUUGACUAUAUGUUUUUGGUUGGGGUGACCGCGGAGCAUAACACAACCUCCAUGUUGAAAGAAAGUUUUCUAAACUAAGAACUACACCUCUAAGUAUCAAAAAAUUGACAUCCAUUGACCCAAUAAACUUGAACAACGAACCAAGUUACCCUAGGGAUAACAGCGCAAUCCACUUCAAGAGCUCCUAUCGACAAGUGGGUUUACGACCUCGAUGUUGGAUCAGGGUCUCCCAGUGGUGCAGCCGCUACUAAAGGUUCGUUUGUUCAACGAUUAAAACCCUACGUGAUCUGAGUUCAGACCGGAGUAAUCCAGGUCAGUUUCUAUCUAUACACAUGAGUUUCUUCUAGUACGAAAGGACCGAAGAAACGUGGCCAAUAUUAACACAAGCCACUGCUACUAAGUUAUGACAUAAACUUAAAAACAUCGUAGCCUACAAACCCACUCUAGACAAGAGUC